AGAAGCACCGUUUGUUUUCCCCCGUUUUCUAAUAGGGUUUUAUUAUUUUUCUUAAAUUAUUAUUCAUUAUUUUUGACAUGGAAUAUUGUGAUAUAAACUACAAGUUUUCAGAUUCCUCUCCAGUUCAGGCCACAUGGCUGCUGUGGAUACAGCAAAUAGGUCAAGUCUCCAGCUGCUUAUUAAACGACUGAAAUAUUUCAUAAAGCAUUUUUAUAUGUAAAAAAAAAACAAAAACAUUUAGCAGAGAACAUGCCCCUCUUAUUGAAAACCACCCUCCAGAUUUCUGUAAAAGAUAGACAGGAACAUGGGCAGGAUGUUUAUACAGCAAAAUGUAAACAUUUUCCCUGGCCUUCUUUAAAUAAAAAAUCAAGCAAAAGCCCCGUUAGAUCAGUUAAUACGCAAUCUGAUGCGAUAUGUCCGCGUGUCCGUAGCGCCUGGUGCAGAUGCAGGACAUUUUUACGCACGAAUAUUGUUUGUGUAAUGCAGUCAUAAUAUUUACGCAGGCACGCAGGAGGGGUGCGCACCGAACUGCCGAGCUGUGAGCACAGAAACUCGGACUGGGACUUGAGAUCAACUCCUGCAGGCACUUCACCGUCGAAAGAUCCGGAAAAUAAAGCCGGAGUGGGCAGGCGUGCGGCUUUGGCCACAGGAAGCCGUGAAUUCUUUGGAGAAUGGAAGAUGUCUUAUGGAGAGAGACGUAGUGGGGCCCCCACCCACCAACCCACCCACUCACCACCUCAGCAUGACCCCUGACCCCCCUCUUGUGUUUAUAUCAGACCGUGGAAGUGAGAAAUAGUGAUGAGUCACUCUGGAUGUAUGUUUAUACUCUGGAGUCACGCAAGGAAGGAAAUCAGCCACGGUCUGCUAAAAGUGGCGAGGUGACAGAGAGUAGCUGCAGUCCCUGAGCACUGCACUGAUUUACCUUGAAGAACCUGAAUGUAUUUCACGUCGCGUCUCUGCUGCGAAGAUUCUCGACCCGAGACGUUUGGAUAAAUGUGCAUGUACUGUACACCAUGUGCUUUUAUCCUGAUCACUGAGUGAGAGGGAAACAACAAA